rnacentral:rRNA from 1 species
AGCGAACGCUGGCGGCAGGCUUAACACAUGCCAGUCGAGCGGGCCCUUCGGGGUCAGCGGCAGACGGGUGAGUAACGCGUGGGAACGUGCCCUUCGGUUCGGAAUAACUCAGGGAAACUUGAGCUAAUACCGGAUACGCCCUUAUGGGGAAUGGUUUACUGCCGAAGGAUCGGCCCGCGUCUGAUUAGCUAGUUGGUGAGGUUAUGGCUCACCAAGGCGACGAUCAGUAGCUGGUCUGAGAGGAUGAUCAGCCACACUGGGACUGAGACACGGCCCAGACCCCUGCGGGGGGCGGCGGGGGGGAAUUGGGAAAACGGGGGGAAACCCGGACCCGGCCUUGCGGGGGGAGGGAUGAGGCCGUUGGGGUGGAAAAGCCUUUUUCCCGGGGAGGAAAAUGGGGGUCCGGGAGAAAAAGGCCACGGCUAACUUCGGG